GCCUGGGUGGCUCAGUUGGUUGAGCGUCUGACUUCGGCUCAGGUCAUGAUUUCACAGUCCGUGAGUUCGAGCCCCGCGUCGGGCU
rfam:Felis catus isolate Cinnamon breed Abyssinian chromosome E2, whole genome shotgun sequence.